GGUCAUCCCGACUUACCAACCCGAUGCAAACUGCGAAUACCGGAGAAUGUUAUCACGGGAGACACACGGCGGGUGCUAACGUCCGUCGUGAAGAGGGAAACAACCCAGACCGCCAGCUAAGGUCCCAAAGUCAUGGUUAAGUGGGAAACGAUGUGGGAAGGCCCAGACAGCCAGGAUGUUGGCUUAGAAGCAGCCAUCAUUUAAAGAAAGCGUAAUAGCUCACUGGUCGAGUCGGCCUGCGCGGAAGAUGUAACGGGGCUAAACCAUGCACCGAAGCUGCGGCAGCGACGCUGAUGCGUUGUUGGGUAGGGGAGCGUUCUGUAAGCCUGUGAAGGUGUGCUGUGAGGCAUGCUGGAGGUAUCAGAAGUGCGAAUGCUGACAUAAGUAACGAUAAAGCGGGUGAAAAGCCCGCUCGCCGGAAGACCAAGGGUUCCUGUCCAACGUUAAUCGGGGCAGGGUGAGUCGACCCCUAAGGCGAGGCCGAAAGGCGUAGUCGAUGGGAAACAGGUUAAUAUUCCUGUACUUGGUGUUACUGCGAAGGGGGGACGGAGAAGGCUAUGUUGGCCGGGCGACGGUUGUCCCGGUUUAAGCGUGUAGGCUGGUUUUCCAGGCAAAUCCGGAAAACUAAGGCUGAGGCGUGAUGACGAGGCACUACGGUGCUGAAGCAACAAAUGCCCUGCUUCCAGGAAAAGCCUCUAAGCAUCAGGUAACAUCAAAUCGUACCCCAAACCGACACAGGUGGUCAGGUAGAGAAUACCAAGGCGCUUGAGAGAACUCGGGUGAAGGAACUAGGCAAAAUGGUGCCGUAACUUCGGGAGAAGGCACGCUGAUAUGUAGGUGAAGUCCCUCGCGGAUGGAGCUGAAAUCAGUCGAAGAUACCAGCUGGCUGCAACUGUUUAUUAAAAACACAGCACUGUGCAAACACGAAAGUGGACGUAUACGGUGUGACGCCUGCCCGGUGCCGGAAGGUUAAUUGAUGGGGUCAGCGCAAGCGAAGCUCUUGAUCGAAGCCCCGGUAAACGGCGGCCGUAACUAUAACGGUCCUAAGGUAGCGAAAUUCCUUGUCGGGUAAGUUCCGACCUGCACGAAUGGCGUAAUGAUGGCCAGGCUGUCUCCACCCGAGACUCAGUGAAAUUGAACUCGCUGUGAAGAUGCAGUGUACCCGCGGCAAGACGGAAAGACCCCGUGAACCUUUACUAUAGCUUGACACUGAACAUUGAGCCUUGAUGUGUAGGAUAGGUGGGAGGCUUUGAAGUGUGGACGCCAGUCUGCAUGGAGCCGACCUUGAAAUACCACCCUUUAAUGUUUGAUGUUCUAACGUUGACCCGUAAUCCGGGUUGCGGACAGUGUCUGGUGGGUAGUUUGACUGGGGCGGUCUCCUCCUAAAGAGUAACGGAGGAGCACGAAGGUUGGCUAAUCCUGGUCGGACAUCAGGAGGUUAGUGCAAUGGCAUAAGCCAGCUUGACUGCGAGCGUGACGGCGCGAGCAGGUGCGAAAGCAGGUCAUAGUGAUCCGGUGGUUCUGAAUGGAAGGGCCAUCGCUCAACGGAUAAAAGGUACUCCGGGGAUAACAGGCUGAUACCGCCCAAGAGUUCAUAUCGACGGCGGUGUUUGGCACCUCGAUGUCGGCUCAUCACAUCCUGGGGCUGAAGUAGGUCCCAAGGGUAUGGCUGUUCGCCAUUUAAAGUGGUACGCGAGCUGGGUUUAGAACGUCGUGAGACAGUUCGGUCCCUAUCUGCCGUGGGCGCUGGAGAACUGAGGGGGGCUGCUCCUAGUACGAGAGGACCGGAGUGGACGCAUCACUGGUGUUCGGGUUGUCAUGCCAAUGGCACUGCCCGGUAGCUAAAUGCGGAAGAGAUAAGUGCUGAAAGCAUCUAAGCACGAAACUUGCCCCGAGAUGAGUUCUCCCUGACUCCUUGAGAGUCCUGAAGGAACGUUGAAG
rnacentral:rRNA from 1 species